UACAGAGGUCUCAAGCGUUGUUCGGAUUCAUUGGGCGUAAAGCGCGCGUAGGCGGCCCGGUAAGUCCGCUGUAAAAGUCAAAGGCUCAACCUUUGAAUGUCAGUGGAUACUGCCGGGCUAGAGUCCGGAAGAGGCGAGUGGAACUCCUGGUGUAGCGGUGGAAUGCGCAGAUAUCGGGAGGAACACCUAUGGCGAAGGCAGCUCGCUGGGACGUUACUGACGCUGAGACGCGAAAGCGUGGGGAGCAAACAGG
rnacentral:rRNA from 1 species